rnacentral:rRNA from 2 species
UGGGGAAUAUUGGACAAUGGGCCACAAGCCUGAUCCAGCAAUUCUGUGUGCACGAUGAAGGUCUUCGGAUUGUAAAGUGCUUUCAGUUGGGAAGAAGAAAGUGACGGUACCAACAGAAGAAGCGACGGCUAAAUACGUGCCAGCAGCCGCGGUAAUACGUAUGUCGCAAGCGUUAUCCGGAUUUAUUGGGCGUAAAGCGCGUCUAGGCGGAAAAAUAAGUCUGAUGUUAAAAUGCGGGGCUCAACUCCGUAUUGCGUUGGAAACUGUUUUUCUAGAGUACUGGAGAGGUGGGCGGAACUACAAGUGUAGAGGUGAAAUUCGUAGAUAUUUGUAGGAAUGCCGAUGGAGAAGUCAGCUCACUGGACAGAUACUGACGCUGAAGCGCGAAAGCGUGGGGAGCAAACAGG